rnacentral:rRNA from 1 species
ACCAGACUCCUACGGGAGGCAGCAGUGAGGAAUAUUGGUCAAUGGCCGGAAGGCUGAACCAGCCAAGCCGCGUGAAGGACGAAGGUGCCAAGCAUUGUAAACUUCUUUUGUCAAGGGACAAAAUCAGGCUCGAGAGCCUGACCGAGGGUACUUGAAGAAAAAGCAUCGGCUAACUCCGUGCCAGCAGCCGCGGUAAUACGGAGGAUGCGAGCGUUAUCCGGAUUUAUUGGGUUUAAAGGGUGCGUAGGCGGGCUGUUAAGUCAGCGGUAAAAUGUGGGGGCUCAACCCCGGCCUGCCGUUGAAACUGGCGGCCUCGAGUGGGCGAGAAGUAUGCGGAAUGCGUGGUGUAGCGGUGAAAUGCAUAGAUAUCACGCAGAACUCCGAUUGCGAAGGCAGCAUACCGGCGCUCAACUGACGCUCAUGCACGAAAGUGUGGGUAUCGAACAGGAUUAGAUACCCCGGUA